GGCUUCGGGCGGCCUGUUCAUAAUCUGUUUUGACAAGAGAAACGUGACAUUCUGCAGACACCAGUCAGGUCAUUAGCUGGUGCGCGAGCUCCAUUGUGGCUUUAUUGGUGCCGGUUGUGUUGCUCAUUGCAGUCGUACAGAUCACGGUGUUGACAAAGAAUAGUUUGAACAGAAAGUGUGCUGCGCUGUGCAGAAAGCAUAAGAAGACUGACCAGUCAACAACACCUUUAUCUGUGGUUUGUGUGAAACACAGGGCAAACAUGAAUUCAUGUAUUUAAGACACUGCUGGAUGUUAAUUUGCAUCUGUGUGUGCAUUUCUGCAAGAUACAAUCUGUACCUCUCUACAACAAAGAUCAUCUCAUAUUACCUUGUGGCAAAACAUUUUGAGAACCAGUGUUUUCAAUUUCUUGUACCAUUUAUUUUGACAGUGAAAAACAGACACGGUGCUGCAGAGAGAAUAAAUAGACACCUGUCACUCUGUAGUGAACAUGAACAUGUGCACACUGCGCAUAGAGCAGGGUUAACCACAUCAAGGAAGAGGUGGGUGAAAUGGAAAUGCUGUCAGAAUUUAGCUGAACAUUUUCACAUGAAAACUGAAAGUACAAUAAACGCCAGCAUGGAGAGGAUACAGCCAUACUGUUACCUGACUUUUGAAAUACAGAUGAUUCUGCAAAUUACACUUCUGGAAACUUCUGGAUGAUAUAUGUGUGACGAGAAUUUCAGCUUCCUAUUUUAGCCCUCUUGGUAUUCUUAACACUUGAGCAAACACUUUGUGCUUUGCAUAAAGGAAGAGUUAAAAAAGCAAUUGCAACAUGUGGAUUAGUGCAUAGGAGAGAGAGGGGUGAAUGAACUAACUGAACACAUGGCGGUUCACAGUCCAAUCAAUGGGACAACAGCCAUCCCGUGGAGGAGCAGCAGGAAGAGACUGUCGCUGCUGGAGCAGCUGAAGGGCUGCGAGGAGGCCUGGUGCCCUGGGGCACCCUGGAACAGAGAGGAAGCCCACGCUGCGAUCUGUGGAACACCUGCUGGGAGUUUCCUGGUUGUGCGGGACUCCGUGACGUCUCGGCCCAGCCUGCUGUGUGUGUCUGCUGGAGGACACGAUGGAGUUGUUCUCGACUAUAGUAUCAAAACCACAGGCACAGUUUUCCAGCUCUCUGAGUCUCGUCUAAGUUUCUCUGACUUGGCUCAGCUAGUGCUCUUCUACUCUCUGACCAGGGAUGUGCUCUCUGCUUGUCUGUCUAUUCCUCAGUGGAUUUACGGUGUAACCAGCAUGAACAAGGACUGUCUCUCACAGCUUGAACCCAGUGAGUCUUUUUCUUAA
rnacentral:lncRNA from 1 species